rnacentral:rRNA from 1 species
ACGGGCCUUGAGAGAGGAAGCCCGGAGAUGGAUUCUGAGACAUUAAUCCAGGCUCUACGGAGUGCAGCAAGCGCGAAAACUUCUCAAUGCACGCAAGUGUGAAGAGGGGAUUCGGAGUGCUCUCGUUUUACGGGAGCUUUUGUUAAGUUUAGAAAGCUUGGCGAAUAAGGGGUGGGCAAUACGGGUGCCAGCCGCCGCGGUAAUACCCGAGCCCCGAGUAGUGACCACGUUUAUUGGGUUUAAAGCGUUCGUAGCUGGCUCAAAAAGUUCUUAGUGAAAUACCACAGUUGACUGUGGUGCUUGCUAGGGGUACUAUUGAGCUUGGGACCGGGAGAGGUCAAGGGUACUACUAGGGUAAGGGUUAAAUGCACUGCUUGCUGUUGCUCGCAGGCACAGUAAGCAAAGCUUACAAUCUUAUAAUCCUAGUGGGACCACCUGUGGCGUAGACUUUAGGAAAAGCUACACCAAAGUUUAGCCUAGAGUAUACACAUAAGGCGCUUGACUGGAACGGAUCCGACAGUGAGGGACGAAAGCUAGGGGAGCAAAUGGGAUUAGAUACCCCAGUAGUCCUAGCUGUAAACGAUGCCCACUAGUCGUAGGGAAGUUCAUGGGAUUUCCCUAUGUCGUAGGGAAACCGUUAAGUGGGCCACCUGGGGAGUACGGUCGCAAGGCUGAAACUUAAGGGAAUUGGCGGGGGAGCACACAAGGGGUGGAUGCUGCGGUUCAAUUCGAUUCUACGCGAGGAACCUUACUAGCGGCGACAGUAGAAUGAAGGUCAGCCUGGAGGGCUUACCAGACACGCUGAGAAGUGCUGCAUGGCCGUCGUCAGUUCGUGCCGUGAGGUGUCGCGUUAAGUCGCGUAACGAACAAGACCCGCACCCUAUGUUGCUAAUCCGAAAGGAUGCACUCAUAGGGGACUGCCCGCGCUAAGUGGGAGGAAGGAGCGGUCAACGACAGGUCCGUAUGGUCUGAAUCCGCUAGGCUACACGCGGCAUACAAUGGCUGGGAUAAUGGGAUGCAACACCGAAAGGUGAAGCCAAUCCUGAAACCCAGUCCUGGUUCAGAUCGAGGGUUGCAACUCACCCUCGUGAAGGCGAAAUCCCUAGUAGUCGCUUGUCAUCAAGAGACCGACGAUGAUCAGAUCAUCGUCCAAUCGUGAACUCCAGCGGCGAAUACGUUCCUGCUCCUUGCACACACUGCCCGUCAAGCCAUCCGAGUGGAUCUUUGGCGAGCCCGUA